rnacentral:rRNA from 1 species
UGGGGAAUAUUGCACAAUGGGGGAAACCCUGAUGCAGCGACGCCGCGUGAGCGAAGAAGGCCUUCGGGUCGUAAAGCUCUGUCCUAAGGGAAGAAACGGACGGUACCUUAGGAGGAAGCCCCGGCUAACUACGUG